rnacentral:rRNA from 1 species
CAGGCUCAGAUUGAACGCUGGCGGCAGGCCUAACACAUGCAAGUCGAACGGUAGCACAGAGAGCUUGCUCUCGGGUGACGAGUGGCGGACGGGUGAGUAAUGUCUGGGAAACUGCCCGAUGGAGGGGGAUAACUACUGGAAACGGUAGCUAAUACCGCAUAACGUCGCAAGACCAAAGAGGGGGACCUUCGGGCCUCUUGCCAUCGGAUGUGCCCAGAUGGGAUUAGCUUGUAGGUGAGGUAACGGCUCACCUAGGCGACGAUCCCUAGCUGGUCUGAGAGGAUGACCAGCCACACUGGAACUGAGACACGGUCCAGACUCCUACGGGAGGCAGCAGUGGGGAAUAUUGCACAAUGGGCGCAAGCCUGAUGCAGCCAUGCCGCGUGUAUGAAGAAGGCCUUCGGGUUGUAAAGUACUUUCAGCGGGGAGGAAGGGAGUGAGGUUAAUAACCUCAUUCAUUGACGUUACCCGCAGAAGAAGCACCGGCUAACUCCGUGCCAGCAGCCGCGGUAAUACGGAGGGUGCAAGCGUUAAUCGGAAUUACUGGGCGUAAAGCGCACGCAGGCGGUCUGUCAAGUCGGAUGUGAAAUCCCCGGGCUCAACCUGGGAACUGCAUUCGAAACUGGCAGGCUGGAGUCUUGUAGAGGGGGGUAGAAUUCCAGGUGUAGCGGUGAAAUGCGUAGAGAUCUGGAGGAAUACCGGUGGCGAAGGCGGCCCCCUGGACAAAGACUGACG